rnacentral:rRNA from 1 species
UUUGCUUAAAAUAAAAGGUCCAGCCUGCCCAGUGACACUGUUCAACGGCCGCGGUAUCCUAACCGUGCGAAGGUAGCGUAAUCACUUGUUCUUUAAAUGAGGACUAGUAUGAAAGGCACCACGAGAGUCAUACUGUCUCCUCUUUCCARUCAGUUAAACUAAUCUCCCCGUGAAGAAGCGGGGAUAACUUUAUAAGACGAGAAGACCCUAUGGAGCUUUAAACGAAUAACACUUGCCCCCCUCUCCUUUCAAUUUCAGAAAAAUCUAUUACCUUGGCAUCAUACUUAUAAGUUUUUGAUUGGGGUGAUCACGGAACAAAAAAUAACCUCCGCAAUGAAAGACUCUCCACAACUAAGUCAAGAACCACAACUCUACACAUCAACAAAUUGACACCAAUUGACCCAAUUUAUUGAUCAAUGAAC